UACAGAGGGUGCAAGCGUUGUUCGGAAUUAUUGGGCGUAAAGAGCGUGUAGGCGGCCUGACAGGUCUGCUGUGAAAACUCGAGGCUCAACCUCGAGAUGUCGGCGGAAACCGUCUGGCUAGAGUCCGGAAGAGGAGAGUGGAAUUCCUGGUGUAGCGGUGAAAUGCGCAGAUAUCAGGAAGAACACCUAUGGCGAAGGCAGCUCUCUGGGACGGUACUGACGCUGAGACGCGAAAGCGUGGGGAGCGAACAGG
rnacentral:rRNA from 1 species